rnacentral:antisense_RNA from 1 species
UAAGUUAGGGACAUCUUAGAUUUACCGGACAUGGUAAAGAAAAGGGGUUGUCUGAGGAAAAGAAAACUACAUAGCUUGAAGACAAGUUUCUUCAUGGGAAAGUCGGUUGCAGGAAUAUGCCAAAGGUUUGAAAAAAGGAUAGGGAGUGGUUUUUUGAAACCUUCAACUAACCGAAUGUUAAACCGUAUCAAAUCCGUCUACUUGUAUAUUUUGAACAAUGGAACUGUAACGACUCAAGAUCUUGUGGAAGAAUUUGGUAUAACUCCUCGUACCAUCCAAAGAGAUUUGAAUGUCCUGGCUUAUAAUGACUUAGUGAUAAGUCCCAGCCGCGGCAAAUGGACAACAACACAGAAGAAGAUAAAAAUGACAUCGUAAAUAAUUGCAUUAUGAUAGAAAAUUGAAGGAACUGGCCAAAA